AUGGGACGUGGGAUGGAAAGCCAGGACCAAUCCUGAGACGAGAGCCAGACCAAUCCUCUUCCCGAAAUCCACCGCACUUCCAAUCCUCUCCGUCCUCGAGCCCUUCUUCUUCUCUCUCCACGCUGUCCCGUCUCCCCUGCUCUGGCACCGCCGCCUUCUCUCCCCGGCGCUUGAUGUGCAGCCGCGGGGCGCCACUACGUUCUCGAUCCAGCCGGGUCGGGCGCCGGUCGCCGGCGUCACGCGCCGCGUGCCGUGAUUCUGGAUCUGGCCGCCGAUGAAAAGUGGUGGUGGGGGAAGAGAGCGCCCUUGUCCUCGGUGUCCGGGCCGCCAUGGCUGACGCCAGAGCCCUUGGCUGGCCUUGAGAUCGUCCGUCAUCGGCAUCCUCGUCAUCCAUCCAAGCGCCAAGUCCUCGACGCAUCUGCAGCCACUGGAUCUCCACCGUUCGGUCCCCGCCUACGUCCACUCCCCCCUCCUAUUGCUUUAUUCCCAACGGCGGGGUGGGACGGGCGUGGGCCCCGAAGACCGCGAUCCUGGCUCAUCUGGCAGUGGGGGCGUUCCUGGCGCACUGUGGGUCGAGCUCGCUGCUGGAGGCGGCGGCGGCGGCCGGCGCGCCGAUGCAGACAUGGCCGCUGGUGUUCGACCGGUUCAUCGAGGAGAGGCUGGUCACCGACGUCCCCAAGAUCGGCGAGAAGGUGUGGGGCAGAGCGCGGAGCACGAAGGAGGAGAAGGAGAUGGUGCCGGCCAAGGCGGUGACGUUGGGCGGUGGCGAGGUUCUUGGAACCAGGCGGAACGGGGGAGACGGCGAGGGGCCGAGUGCAGGGGCUCGCAGUGAAGGCUCGCGCGGCCGUGUCGGAAGGCGGGUCGUCCUGUGAUCUGCGCAGGCUUAUCGACGACCUGAUGGAAACAAGGGAGGCCGUCGCCGGCGGCGACACUACUACGUCACGCGCUGCUGAGAUAUAGCGCCAUCGUUGUAUUUCCCUGUUCUUCAAUCCGUUUGUAAACAUGUAACACCGGCCGCUUAAUAUGUUAUGCAUUUCCCUUUGCCUACUAUCCCUAUGGUGUUCAUCAUCUCAGGGAUUUGCUGGUACUGGAUCCAGCGGGAGGAGAUCCCUGAGGCAUUUGAUUCUUGUGGGAUUCCCACACAUCUUGCAGGAUCAACAGGUUAUCGGCACCUUCUCAGUCCCUCUGCACCCAUGACCCAGGCCAAACCAAGUACUUGCAUAUUGAAGAAACUUCCAUGCUGUUUUACGCGUGGAUUCUAACAACUGAUCUAGCAUAUAUGUUAUCAUAGCAGAAUAAGAGAUGCGCUCCAACCAGUGGAUUUUUCAUCCAAGAUGCUUCUAUAAGAAAUGCGGCAAACAUCAGUAAUGGACUGCACCAGGUAUCAUCUCUGUGCCAUGGGGUGUGUCGUGGGGACUGAUCCGUGGCUGAGGUCGACAAAAAAAAACAGGGGAGCCCACUAACAACCAAAUUCCAGACUGGUUUUUGUCAUAUCAGACAUUAGUCAUGAAAGUUGCAGUCUUUCAUUUUUAUCAUACAAAGCACACUGAUUGGUUCUCACGGGAUAGCGAUGCCUUUCAGUUGUUCUUGUCAGUACAUCCGAGUAAGGAUAAGUGGAUAACUACACACUUCUAAAUUUGUCAAUACAUACAAAUUGAUCUUUCUGGUGAUUGCUUUGGUAAUAACUACAAACUUCUAAAUUUGUCAUCUUUUUGGUCUGCAUAGCUGAUUUCCCCUGAGGAUUGUAGUAACGUUUAAACAAGUAUUUACACUUCUAAACAAGUAUGGAAAAAGGCGACUUGCUUGAACUGAAUCAGCCAUAAACCUCCCUUAAUUAUGUGCAUGUCUAAAAAAACUUUAGGUCUGCCUCCCUGUAGAAAUACACAAGUAUAUUUGUAACACUUAGAUGCUUGCCUAUGUAAGCUUGCAUCACAGACUAGCAAGGAGGAAGACGAAGCCCGGGUUCAGCCCCGUUGGAGUUGGCAUCUGCUCACAGCAAGCUGCAGAUGAUGUCCGUAUUUUGUUUCUUUUCUCCUGUAGCAAACACAAGCAGGUGCUGAGAUAAGGCAGAAUUAUAUUCAGAUUCGUAGCUGCUAGGUAGUAUAUUUUAGCACUAAGUUUCUUUCAAAUUAUGGGCAUAAUCUGUGCGGAAUUUCAAUGUACUCCUAAAACAACAGUUGUUGCUCUUGUUUUUAUGUUUCCAAUGGUGCUGGUUUCACUGAAAUUUGAUUGGUAGUUUAGGAGUUAGGCCAGAAUAGGUGCUACUGUUUAAUAAUAGCGAGGCUGUGAGAUCUAUUUACCUAUAUUCAACCAAGUUAGAGACAGUUUUAGUCCCAAUCACCUUAAAUAAAGUUGUAGGAAAUUCUCUGUGGGUAUCUUAAAAUAGUUUAUUUGCUGAGAUCGGUUAAGCGGUUUAAAAGCUAUGAACAGAACAAUGAGUGACUCAGUAACUCAGUCGAAGUUUCAGCUAAACUUAGAACUGGUUAUUUAGGUUUUUUACUUCAGGGAAAUAUUAAUGUAUUCAUGAAAUAGAUAUUUAACCUUUUUUAUAUGUGAGUUGAUAUAACUUUUAUGUACUGCAGGCAGUUCGUUUAAAUCCACAUAACAGUGCCUUUAGUAGGCGAUAGCAAGGCAGUCAGACAAUCUUAGUUUGGGGAAAUAAGAUAGGUUACCUGACGAUACAUUGAAAGAGGAAGGAAUAUUGAUAUUUCGUCGAUGGCGUGACCUGCAAAAGGAUGCUCUUGGUGACAGCAUCCUGGGCUUCUGAAACAUGCUCAGUUCAGCUGAAAGGAUGUAUUCAAUUAUGCAGAGAGAUGGAAUUGUUCGAACUCCAGUGCUACCAAUCGACGACAUGCCAAGACAUUACCACAAGAGCAUCGGUGCUUCCAGGAUGAAGAAUGAAUGCAUGUCAUUUAGGGAUAACGGUGGGCAAUGAAAUGUUGAAGGGUCCAUCUCUCACCCCACUCCAUAUAGAUGCUUAGUUCUUCAUGGCGAUUGUCUCUAAUGUUUUUGUUUGUAAUAUAUUUUGGCUUGGAAAUAUAAAAACUCCAUGCCGCCUGUCACACAAUUUUUCGUCGUCCGGGCAAACCCCCUUUUCCAUUAAUUUCUUGAUGUAUGGUUAUGAUGCAGUCUUCUAGACGAAGAUGGAUUUAGGUUGUGUGAUUCCACAGUAUACAUUGCACUUCCUUUAAGCAUGAAUAUCUGAACGUGCACGGUGUAUAUUUCUCAGUCAUGUUGUUUUUCUGUUUAUAUUUCCAGGAUACAUAUAGUACAUGUAUUGCAUUAGAAUAUAACUUCUACUUUUGUGCUAUUAUUUUCCUUCAUGGUAUAUGUGGCAGAACACCAUGUAUAUCUAAUAUCUUCAGGUUUCAGGAUUUAAAUGCCCUUUGUUUUCUGUACGAGGUGGUUACCUGGGAUUUUAUUUGAUUACUCUAUUAGAUCAUGAGCAAAUUAAGACAUAUAUUGAUCUUGCAAUUGAUAGCAUUUCCUGUCAUAUUGUUGAUUCUCUUACAGAUCCACCACCUCAGAUGGUGCUGACAGGGGUGCAAAGCAGUCUUCCUUGAGCUUUGGUACCGAGUUUUAAGGAGAACAUUUGCCCUCAUGAAGCCCCACUUUGUGGUCAUUGCAGCUGUAGCUAAGGAGGGUACCCGUCAGCGCCAGCUCACUGCUUGCCUAUGUAAUCAAUCUAUAUUUCCAACCUUUUUGUUUAUGCAGGCUCUCAUGGAGAUUCACGAUGUAGUGGUCGCACUUCAAAACACUUCAGCCACAACAUCUCAGUUCCUAGAGGAAAAAGGCAUGUACUCAGAUGAUGAAGUGCCUGAUCCAUUCUAUAGUGGGCAUUCUGAUGAAGAUUCAGCUGAUGAUUGUCGUCAAGACGUGGACGACGACUAUGAUCACUAUGUCCGAUCCCCAUGAGCAUCGUAUUCAGCCUGCUAAGAUGUCUGAUGCCAUGUGAAGCUGUAUAUGUAUAGCUUCACCAUUACGACUUGGCCUUGUGGCUGUUGUGUUUAUUCUCCUAUGUUGGCUGAAUAAGAUGCGAAGCUCUUUGUUUAUAGCUCCGCCUUAGAUUCCCCCCCCCCCUUUUUGAACUGUGCUAUGGUCAUGUAUAAUUAUGAAAUCCAUGUUGAUGUGUUGAGACAAUGUUAUUUAUCUAUGUUGCAUCUUUGCUUUUGCCCACUGUGGUUCGUCCUUUUAGUACCUUCGCUAUGAA